GUCCUCUUUGUUUGGCUGUAACUAAUAAACAACAUGACCAUAGUAAGAGAAAGAAACUUGUGAGUUCUUGAGAUCCAUAUUGUCUGUGUGCUGCAAAAGAAGAACCCUUCAUGAAGAACAAAAAGCGGCUGUCUCAACUAUAUUCAUAUCCAAACAACUAACUAACAAGUAUACGAAGCAUUUGGUUGUCGAUUAAAUCAAUUAAAGAAUGUAUUUGCAACAAUCACUGUGCUUGUCGCAAGGUUUUUGCCCCUCAAAUCAUACACAAAAGGGUUGCUGGAAGUGUAUAAACAGAAGAAGAUAAGGUAGACAAGAUGAUCUUUAUCCUAUUUGAACAAACAAGUUAAUCCAGUAAUCAUUGCAAUACUCAAGCUAAUUGUGCAGAUUACUACAAUUAAAGUGAAGAAAAAGAAAGGCUAGAAGUUUGUUAGCUUGACAGUUAGAAAACGAAGGAAUUUUCUUCAUCAAACAUCAAUCAAAUUGGAGACACUAAUGAUGAUAUGUUGACACUUUUACCUCUCAGACCUAAAAUCAAAUGCUGAUGGGAAUGUUUGUCUAGAUUCAGGGACAUACAGAAACCAAUAAAUGACAUGGCAACUAGUGGUACUGUGCAUCCAACUCCUUUCAUGGACCAUGCUGCUCCCCCUUUGUUUCUCGGGGGGAUCUAUCUUGCUUGGUCUCACUAGGAGAAAGAAUAAAAUGACUAGAGAGGACUUUCUCACAUACUUUUGUUUCUUAAAUAUCUUUGUUGAUGAGAUCUGUCAGGAAAAAUUGGAAGCUCAAGUCCUUCAGCCAACAUUUAUUCCUUUUCUAUUUUUAGAAAUAAAUUGAUUAUUUCUUUAAUUUCUGGAAGUAAAAUAUUUUUCUUCCAUUUUUGUAAAAAAAAAUCCUAUUUAUUUUGUCUCUCAUUACUGUUGAAUAUUCCCUGCAAUAAAUGUAAAUGUAUUAAAAACAGAAAUGGUACUGAUUGUGAAAUGUCCAUAUCACCUUUUACACAAGGCUACUAAUCAUAAUACAAAUUACUCUUCUAUAUUCCUUUUUUUUAUUUUACUCUUCAAUAUUCCUGAUAAAGCCACAUUGUGAAGUGUUGGAAAGCCAAAGCCUAUCAAACAGUUUCAAAUGAUUCCUCAUCUAAAGAUGCCCUUCGAGGUUCAUCAUUGAACGACAAAAUCAUGUAAAGCCCAUCUUCGAGCAAACAAUUCCUCAUAGCUCACAGAGUUUAUACUAGCAAAGACUAGUGAUGGAUUUUAUCAUAUGCCAUCGUGGAAUUUGUUAAGGGCUUCGCUCCCCAGCUAGGGGGUCUGAUAAGGCCAAAAUAUGGUCUAAUAUUGAUUGGAGAAUUAGAGAGUCAAGGAUGCCUCUUCUAGAGAUACCUUGAAGGAACAAAAUCUUGCAAUUCAAAUCUUACACCAAUGAAGACGAGUGAUGGACCUCAUUAGAUCUAUAGAGCCCAAAGAACCUAAGACUCCCCAACUUGGAAGCUUUGAUGAAAUGUUUAGUCCCAGAUUAGUUGUAGAACAAAUGCCUAAUAAAGUACAGGGUAGAUUGUAGGCAGUAUAGACAUAAAAGUAUUUCUAUCAAUCCCAUUUUACUUUAUCGGAAGUGUUUUUGUUUUCUAUUUCUGCUUUAUAAAAUUGAAAACAUCUUUAGCUAUGUGAUGUUGCGAGGAGGGGAAAAUAGUAAAAAACAAUCUCAGUUUCAUAUGCCACAAGCUAAUUGCUAGCUGAUGAUCUUAUGGUAUGAAAUGUCAAUUAUCUUAGCGUCCUGAAACCCUUUAGGUGGCACCAGGCCAUAUAGGAUCUUAGUUAUAUGUCUAGGUGAACAUUGGGCUUGCACCUACUUUUAGAACUCUUUUGUAUGCGACCAUUCAACCCAUUUGCAAGUCUUUUGCCCUAAUAAAAACUAGUUGUUUGUGUUACUUAUGAUUUUAGUUAUUUUUUCCUUUUCAUGCUUGACGAUAUUAUGUUAUUCAUAUGUUCGUCUUUUUAACCUUUUCUUUUGUAUACAGGUCUGAACUGUACAAGGUUAAGACAUAGACUAACCCUUACGAGCAAAUAUCAUUUAUAUAUCACAUAAUUUAGACAAAAUCAACUAAGUUUAUGACAUGCUAAAGUAUGUUGAACCAUUCAAAACAAGAUCAAGUUAUCAAUGAAUUAAAAAAACAUUUGUCCUCCUAGGAUCUUCAAAUGCAUUCAUAAAUGCAGCAAUUAUAAAAAGAUGAAAUCCAUUGAGAAAGAUAAUAGAGCCAUAAAAUACACAUAGUGUCUUAGAAUUCAAGUCCACAUGGGUGAACACAACAAACUGAUUUAUUCACACGAAGCAAGCAAGAAAAUAAGAUAAAUGAAGUCAUCGUCGACCUGGCUUUCCUUCUUGUGGCGAAGCUCAGAAUUGCACAGGUUAGCUUUUCUUCAAGUCUGAAUAACUUGUGCACUAACAACUACAUCUUAGUUGAAAUCAAAUACGGAAAUGGAACAUAGCAAGUUGUUGCAAGAAGUACAUAAAAUAAGAUCAAAUUUUUACUAUUCUUAAAAAUAUCUAGAGGUGCAUUUAUAAGAGAAUAAAACACGAAUUAAUCCUGGAACUAGAUGAAAUGUCAGAGUGCACAAAUAUGAUCUAAAAUUCAUAUUUAAUAUUUUAAUAAAAAAAAAGGAAGUCACUAAAAGCAUGGAAGAAAUGGGGAAUUACAUGGAUUUGCGUUGCAAAAGAUACUAAAAACACUUUAGAUAGUGUGGAAAUGGCCAUUAAAUCAAAAAAAUAAGGUGCAAAUUAGAGGAAAGCUAUUUGGGCACGGGACGACAGACUUCACAAAGUGUUCGCAAUUGGGAUUUGAAAUAUUAGUAGAAUUCCUCCGUUUUCUGUAUUCAUAUAUUAAUCACUAAAGUGUAUUUGACGACUGUAGAAGAAAUAGUCAAGAAUUCUCCUUUAAUGAAAAUGAGCGGCAUCACAACUAGUAGACGUGAAUGAGAAAUUUACCACAUAAAUAUGAGGAAGCAGGGAGAGAUAUUGGAAUGGAGCUCCGGUCAUACGACAUUAGCUUGGGGAUACCCCCUCGGCUUUCCCUUCGUGGACACUCACGGCCUCGCGCGGACCGCAACUUGGCCGGGCGAUCUCUUCGAGAACAAGAAGGCGGAGGGGACGAAGCUCCUGUGGGGCAGUAGUGCGGGCGCCUGGCCUCCGGCCUCGAAGGCGGAGAAGCAGCUCAUUGACGCCGCCAUGGUCAGCGCUUCGGUGUUGAGCGAUGGGCGGCAGCCGACGAAAGGGUUUUGAAUUUGCA
rnacentral:lncRNA from 1 species